AACGCACAUGGCGCCUUCCAGUAAUCUGGGAGGCAUGCCUGUCCGAGCGUCGUUUCAACCCUCGAGCCCACGUGGCCCGGCGUUGGGGCCCUGCGAGCGUCAGCCGCAGGCCCUGAAAAUCAGUGGCGGACCCGUCGCGGCCCUUCCCUUGCGCAGUAGCAUCAGCCUCGCAUCGGGAGCCCACGGGCUUUUCCUGCCUCUAAACCCCCCUACAAGCCCGCUCCGGCGGCACAAGGUUGACCUCGGAUCAGGUAGGAAUACCCGCUGAACUUAA
rnacentral:misc_RNA from 1 species